AGAGUAUAAACAUAUAUCAUGACUAAAACAUACUAAGUAUUAUUACUCGGCUAGCAAGGAAAGAUAAACAUACGACCUGAACUGAAUUAACCAGUGCGCAUGACCAUAUAAAAAAAAUAAACAAACUUCCUUUGACAAUAAGUUUCUAAUUAAAUCAUGGCUGCGCCUGGGCAGCGUUAUUGUGAGAGUGAAAGUGGACGUGCUGCUACUCCCCUCAUUCCCAACAUGUAUCAAGUACCUGCAUUGAGUAAUGCAAGAGUGAGAUGACACAUCUCAGUAAGUAAAAUAAUAUCAAACAGUUUAACCACAUAAGAACAUUGUUUUACCACCACUUAAUUCCACAACCUUCUUAUUACGAAGGUGCAGCACGUAUACAACGUACAACGCACCUAGUUACCACACCUCGCAGGUAGAAACCACAAUAGUAACAUAGUAAUGUCACACUUCAUAUAUUCCUCAUGAGUGCAAAUGUCUGCAAAUGCAAGGAUGACUUCUGCCUUCAUACCUCUAAGGAUAUGAAGCCGCAUCGUACCCCUCCUCGGGCAACGUACGAUGCUAAAAAUGUACCGGUACGGUCGGACCAUAAGAUCACGACAUAACUUCAAAAUGCAAGAUGGAUGAUGCGAUGUGCAUGUCAUGCCUACAACACUUCAUAUAACAUGAUUCAAAAAGACACUUCAACUUCAUCCAGAUGUUAAUCAACCACAUAUAUCAUUACCAAAUUAUGAUCAUCCACAAUAUUAGACAAUUGAGAAUUAAUACUUCCAAACAAAUAAACUUCAUCAUAGAAUUCAAUGAUUAACAUAAUUAAAACUUAUGCAUACUCAAUGACAGGGAAUAGGAUGCAAACCAAACGGUAGCAACCACCACUGUAUUUACUUGCCUUUACCGGAAGUUCGUGCAAAUCCCUAAGUACUAUCCGGAAGUCCACCACCUGUUUUUGACACCCAACUUAGUACACCAAUUUCACAUAAUCAGGCUCAUAAGCGACGCCGCACCUACGCACAAACUCAAACCCCGCCGCGGGUUACAUCUUUCCCUACACCCACCAAACUGCAGCGGCGCUGCUUAAUAAUUUCAUAACUUUAAAAUUAUGGCAGCAGUGGUAACAAACAAAUACUCCAGAGGCAUCUACAUAAAAUUCCCCACAAGUUUUGUAUACAAUUUAUAAUUAAAUUCCAAUAUCUAAUUAGCCCAAAACAGUCCACAAGAUGAACCCUGUAAUCUGUUUUUCUUUGUCUUUUGGACAGCGACAUACCCAGAUUCAAACAGCGAUAUCUUUUAAAAUAUAAUUCCAAAUCAAGCGCAUAAGUACUCAUUGGAAAGAUAAGACAAAUCCCUACAUGAUUACCAUACUGGUUAACACUAAUUACCCAUGAAAAAUUCCCAGAAACUGCUAAUACCACUGCUGUUCACCCACCUGAAAAAUCUGUUUUUUUUGGACAGCAACAUAACCGGAUUCAAACAACGAUAUCUCCUGAAUUAUAACUCCGAAUCGAGCGCAUAAGUACUUGUUGGAAAGAUAACAUAAAGCCCUACAUGAUUCUCAUACUGAUUAACACUAAUUACCCACGAAAAAUUCCCAGAAACUGCUAAUACUGCUGCUGUUCAUUCCCCUGAAAAAUCUGUUUUUUUGACAGCUACAUACCCGGAUUCAAACGGUGAUAACUUUCAAUUUAUAACUCCAAAUUGAGCGCAUAAAUACUCGUUGGAAAGGUAAGGUAAUGUUCUACAUGAUCCCCAAACUGAUUUCCCUUAAUUCCUCACGAACAAAACACAGAAACUGCUAGACUACUGCUGUUCACCCACCACCUAAAAUUCUGGACAGCCCCCCUCUACCCCAAUCGCAAACGCAACCUCUAAUCAAUUAAAUUGCAGCGCAAAUGAACAAGGGAUGAACACAAAAAUCACCUUGGAUUCUCCCCAUUUCCUUCCUCCCUUCUUCCCUCCACCAAAACGAUUGAAGACUCGCACCACGACGACGAUGAUCCGAGCGGCAAGGAUUGGCACCUUGGGAGGAGGGGAUUGAGAGGGGGGGGGGGCGGCUAGGGUUUGGUGGCUGCAAGAAUUGAGAGAGGAGGAGAUGGGCAGGGGGGCGGCGGCCAAGGGGGAAGAGAAGUGGG
rnacentral:lncRNA from 1 species